GCGUUUAGAGUUCAAAUCUCUAAAUCCCAAUUGCACGCCGGCGUACCGGAACCAAACAGUUCGCUGCAGUUUCCGGGGGAGAUGCUUGAGUACGUUACGAGGAAUCGAUUGCUCCUGCCUGACGGAGGUCUCCCGGAAGAGGACUGCGAAAGAGCCUGUCUUGUCCAGGAGGCAGUUUGAGCCGCAGAGAUUGGGGGUGGGCGCGCUGGGCCUGUCCGUGUGGAUCGGAGUGUUCAGUCAUGUUUGUCUACGCAGUGACGUGGGCUUUGCUCAAGAAAGAGACCCUCCGCUGCGGUGUUUUCUUGUUGGUGUCGGAGUUGGAGAGUGAUCCUAGAAAUACCUGUGGUUGAGACACCGUGUAGGGUCUCCAGAAAACAGGAGUUGCAACAGAGAUAUCAGCCAGCCACAAUCAUUGGUUACCACAGUGCUGGUGUAAUGGGCUCAUGAAUUGAGUGCUGUGAUGGCAGAGAAAAAGGCUAUUCGUGUGCACAAAAGCAUGGCAUCCCUCACCAAGGCUGACCUUGCUACCACCAUCACCAUACCUGUCAACAACAGAGACUGAUACUGUGCAUGAAUCUUUGAGGAGAACAACCAGUCACUUAGUGGCACUUGUUUACGUAAGACCCCUUGCACCCUGGAAAGAGCAGCAAUUGAAUACAAUUGACAUAUUUUCUAAGUGUGAGUUUACCUUUCCUGCCUGCAUUGACUUGGUCAGCACCUUGGGCUCACAGAGUAUCUGAUUUCACUGACAUGGGGUCCAGAUCAAGGGAAUGAAUUUAUGAGAAAGAGGUUCAGCAGUGGGCACGAGCCUGUGUUAUUCACAGGUCCUGCUCCAUUCCACAUCAUUCAUCAGCUGUUAGCCUGACAGAGCAAUGGAACGGCCUCUAAGAAACACAGCUUGGAGACGAUAUCCUACAAAGAUGGAGCACUAUCCUUCCAGACACAGUAUGUAUAUUAAAGCAGAGGUUGGCAAAUGGUCGUUCAAAGGCCAAAUCUGGCUGGCUGCUGUUUUACAAAAAAAAAAAUUUUGGACCACAACCAUACUCAUCAUCUACAUGCUGUCUACGGCUUCUUUUAUGCUGCAUUGAUGAAGUUGAGUAGUUGUGUCAGAGACUGUGUGGUCCACAGAACCUAAAUAUUUAUUGUCUAGCAUUUUACAUAAAAAGUUUGUUGCUCUUGCCCUAAACCAGUGGUCACCUUAUGGCCCUGUGUUACCACUGGAAACCAAGGAAUGGGAAGGACGAUGGCCCCUUUCCAGAAACCUACUUGAGAAGCUUGCGCUUUUAGUUUCUGAGGCUUUAGACUGUUGAAGAACUAAAUGUCCUGGUUUCUAGAAAGGGGACACUUCCACUAGGGAACACAUUGAUAGUUGUGCUUAACUUAAGGCUGUUGCUGCCAUUGACCAUUCUAGGCUCACAGUGCCAGCAGCCCAGCAGGAAGAGAAAAGAGUUACCAUGUUUAAAGGGGUAAUUGACUGACAAUCAUGAGGAGGUAGGGUUGUUGCUACAUAAUGGUGGCAGGGAAGAAUAUAUUUAGCAUUCAUGUGAGCCACUGGGGUAUCUCUUGGUAUUGUCACUGUAACUUGGCAAGUAUUUGUUCAGCCAUCAGCAUGGUAAACAAAAUCUCAGACCCUUCAGGUGACACCACCAGGUGAGCCACCUAAACACACAGAAUGCUGGCUCAGGUUGAGGGGAAUGUAGAAGUGGGUGGUAAAGGAAAUAGUAUCGGUCUGACCGUAGGGCGAACUGCAGCAGUGGAGGCUAUAGUUUCAUCCCACUAACUUUUCUAUUAAGUUUUCCUAGAAAUUGUGAUCGACCAGAACCCUGGAGAAGGUGUAAAGAAUGGAGUGAACCUAAUGUGCAAAGCAAAUGGACCUGAGAGGUACAAGGGGUGGAGCGUAGCAGACAAUGUUGGUGCUCUGUCUGGAUGUCCUGGGUUUCAUUUUAUUGGUUCAGUGCACCCAUUCUUCUCCAUCUGCUGAAUGUGAUGCUGCUAAUGGCUCACACCUGCGACGUUUUCUAGAGGCUUCCCCUUGGUAGACUGGAGCAACAACACCAGGAGCUAGUUGUCUGGAAGUAAUGCACUACUCAUCCCUUUAACAGCCAGUAAACAGUGACGGCCUAAUGCCUGGUACGGAGGUACAGAAGCUUCGCUUCCUUGUCGGCAUGGGGCAAAGACUGUGGUGUGGUGUGGUGUGGUGUGGACGCCAGAGCCCCUGGGUGAUUUCAGGGGCCGAGGCCACACUGAGCUGAAACCACACACUCUUGCUUUGCUUCUUCCCUUGGCCUUUUCCAUGAGGUUUUGUUUGUUUGUUUUUGUUUUUGUUUGGUAUAGUUAUGAGGCUGGACCUUAAAAGAUGCUGCUGAUAUGCUGAUGGGUCUAAAACAGGCAGCUCAGGGUUGUGUUGGGCCCAAGAUUUCUCAUAUAAUUACGAAAUUCCCCCCUUGAAAAACUCAGUUGUAUCUUUUCUGCUUUUGUAAAGUUUAUUCUAUGUUUUCCCUAAUGUCUAAAGAUUGAAUGCUAAGUUCAUUAAUGUUGAGCCUCUUUUGUACUUAGGAAUAUAUAAUUAUCCAUUUUCCUCAAAAUAAGAUUUUAGCAGCAUCUCACAAGUUUUGAAUAUGACUUUAUCAUUCAGUUCUAAGAACUUAUGAUGUCCAUUAUGACUUUUUUAACCCCCAAAUAAAAGUUUAAAUUUCCAAAUA